GACAGAGGGGGCAAGCGUUGUCCGGACUGACUGGGCGUAAAGCGCGCGCAGGCGGUCAGAGGCGUCGGUGCUCAAAGUCCACCGCUUAACGGUGGGAGGCGUGCCGAUACGCUCUGACUGGAGUCCUGGAGAGGAAGGCGGAAUUCUCGGUGUAGAGGUGAAAUUCGUAGAUAUCGAGAGGAACACCGGUGGCGAAGGCGGCCUUCUGGACAGUGACUGACGCUGAGACGCGAAAGCGUGGGGAGCAAACAGG
rnacentral:rRNA from 1 species